CCUACGGGUGGCAGCAGUCGAGAAUCAUUCACAAUGGGGGAAACCCUGAUGGUGCGACGCCGCGUGGGGGAAUGAAGGUCUUCGGAUUGUAAACCCCUGUCAUGUGGGAGCAAAUUAAAAAGAUAGUACCACAAGAGGAAGAGACGGCUAACUCUGUGCCAGCAGACGCGGUAAUACAGAGGUCUCAAGCGUUGUUCGGAAUCACUGGGCGUAAAGCGUGCGUAGGCUGUUUCGUAAGUCGUGUGUGAAAGGCGCGGGCUCAACCCGCGGACGGCACAUGAUACUGCGAGACUAGAGUAAGGGAGGGGGAACCGGAAUUCUCGGUGUAGCAGUGAAAUGCGUAGAUAUCGAGAGGAACACUCGUGGCGAAGGCGGGUUCCUGGACAUUAACUGACGCUGAGGCACGAAGGCCAGGGGAGCGAAAGGGAUUAGAUACCCCUGUAGUC
rnacentral:rRNA from 1 species